AGUGAACGCUAGCGGUAGGCCUAACACAUGCAAGUCGAACGGCAGCACAGUAAGAGCUUGCUCUUACGGGUGGCGAGUGGCGGACGGGUGAGGAAUACAUCGGAAUCUACUUUUUCGUGGGGGAUAACGUAGGGAAACUUACGCUAAUACCGCAUACGACCUACGGGUGAAAGCAGGGGAUCUUCGGACCUUGCGCGAUUGAAUGAGCCGGUGUCGGAUUAGCUAGUUGGCGGGGUAAAGGCCCACCAAGGCGACGAUCCGUAGCUGGUCUGAGAGGAUGAUCGGCCACACUGGAACUGAGACACGGUCCAGACUCCUACGGGAGGCAGCAGUGGGGAAUAUUGGACAAUGGGCGCAAGCCUGAUCCAGCCAUACCGCGUGGGUGAAGAAGGCCUUCGGGUUGUAAAGCCCUUUUGUUGGGAGAGAAAAGCAGCAGGUUAAUACCCCGCUGUUCUGACGGUACCCAAAGAAUAAGCACCGGCUAACUUCGUG
rnacentral:rRNA from 1 species